rnacentral:rRNA from 1 species
UACGAAGGGGGCUAGCGUUGCUCGGAAUCACUGGGCGUAAAGCGCACGUAGGCGGCUUUUUAAGUCAGGGGUGAAAUCCUGGAGCUCAACUCCAGAACUGCCUUUGAUACUGGGAAGCUUGAGUCCGGGAGAGGUGAGUGGAACUCCGAGUGUAGAGGUGAAAUUCGUAGAUAUUCGGAAGAACACCAGUGGCGAAGGCGGCCCACUGGCCCGGUACUGACGCUGAGGUGCGAAAGCGUGGGGAGCAAACAGG